UGAGAUGGAAGAUGCCAUGGUCCUCCU
rnacentral:piRNA from 1 species